rnacentral:lncRNA from 1 species
AUAAAAAUAUCACAACAUAAAUCAAACAUAAAAAAAUAACUAAAUUCUAAGUACAUAACUAUUAAAAUUCACAAAUAGAAAACAUAACUAAAUUCAAAUACACAACCAUUAAAUUCCCCAAAUAAAAAUCCACGACUAACAAUUGAACAUAAAUAACAUACGUCGUUAUAAAUCCACAACAUAAAAAUAUCACAACAUAAAUCAAACAUAAAAAAAUAAUUAAAUUCAAGUGCAUAACCAUUAAAAUCCACAAAUAAAAAACAUAACUAAAUUCAAGUACACAACCAUUAAACUCCACAAAUAAAAAACACUACAAAUCCAUGUAGAUUCCAAGGCUCCAAGCUUCCAAUCUAAAACGUCACGCCACAAUACCGUCAAUCAUCAGGAUCCUCCGCUCCUUCAGCAUUCAUAAUUUGUUCACAAUUCAUAAAGUGAGUUACCUUAUGUGAAAAAAAAAAAGAGAUUAAGCAUUUACAUUAUAUUAAAAAUUAAUGCAUUUAAUUAAAAUAAUUAAACAAAUCAACAAACACAAUUAAUCAAAAUUAAAUUCAAUUCAAUCAACAAAAAAAAUUAAAUUAAGCCAGUAACAUUUUCAAAUUUAAACAAAUUUCUAGUAAAUUAUACUCAUAACUCAUUAAAUACAAUAAAAAAUUAACCACAAUACCAAGUUAUUAAUCAGAAAAAAAAUUCAAUCAACAAUAAAAUUAAAUUAAGCCAGAAAUAUUUUCAAGUUUAAACAAUUUACAUUAAAUUAAAGUCACUAGAUACAAUUAAUUAAUCAAUCACAAUACUAAAUUAUUAACAAAAAAGGCAUGUAUUUAAUAGAAAAAAAUAGAAAAGUAGUUGAAAUAAGGGAGCAAAAUCAUUACCGGCAAAUUAAUUUCUUGGACGGUGAGGCUUGGACGACAACGUCACAACAACCUUUUGACGACCACCGCGAGCCUUGGAUAGCGAAGCUUCAACGACAGAUCAGGCGAGGCGAGCUUCGGUAGAUCAAGCGAACUUCAACGACAGAUCAGAAGAGGCUUCGGCAAGCUGCGAGGGAGACGGCGUCACAACGAGUCGGCCACUGGUCGAAAACGAGACUUAUGGCUGCGGGCUGCUGGUGAGGUGAGUGUGUGGGAAAGUUGAAUGAAGGGAGGCAACGAGAGAGUAGAGACAUCGACACUAAUAGAAAGUAGAA